rnacentral:tRNA from 1 species
GUGUAGCUCAGUGGUAGAGCAUGCACUUAGUAUGCACCAGGCCCUGGGUUUGAUUCCCAGCAUACACA